GUUCAGUUUCCUGGAAGUGGAGCUGUGGAACCCAUUUGAGGCCAUCGUCAUCUCGGCCUACCUUCUCUGUAUUGAUCUUGUGCUCACAUAUCAUACGCAGCCUGCCCCUUGGAGAAGAUGAAGACCCAGGAAUAGACAUGGCUGUAGUCCCCAUGGGGCCUAACUCUGACCUAGGAACACAGUGCCUCAGUCUUUUCCAGGAACCAUGUCCAGCAAUAGGCAGAGAUCUCAGCCAUACCCUGGAUGUGGAGAGAGAGAAUCUCACCUGGACCCAAACUGGUUGAGGCCAGAUAGGCCUGGAAUCCAGGCAGCUCUUCACCCAUUAGAAGAUCUUCCACCCAUUGAUUUUCCAACAACAAGGUCAUUAAGAUCUCAUGGUGUCCUCAACUAUGGCUCCCUGACGCUGAGGAUUCUGCAUCAUGGUUACACUGGCCACAAUACAGGACAUCAGAGGGCUGUUGACUAGCCUUUGGCUCUUCAGACUGGGAAAAGCCUGGGAAGGUGCAUGCCAUCUAGAAUAAAGUAAGUCAUAGGCAUUCUUCCAGUGGCUUUCCAGUGCUACCUGCUUCUCCUGUAUGUGAAUUGCUUCUCUUCUGCCCUGCCCACCCCUGAGUUCUAGCUGGUCACUUACACAUCAGGAGCAUGUAGCUGGCCCUUCUUAGAACACCUUAGUCAGCCCACCACUCACCCAGACAAGCCCUUGUGGGAAUCUGUCCCCACAGAACUACUCUUGACACUAGCUCUCUCAGCGUACCCAGGAGGAACACUGGAGGAAAGGGUAGUGUGGGAACCAACUCAGAGAAGUACCCUGAGAUUGUAAAUGCCAAUCAUCAGCUUCGUCGGCUUGUGAAGCACCUAAGAGAUCAAUGAAGCGCACUCUGUGUGUGUCUGAGGGUGUUUCCAGAGAGACUUAACUACAGGGUGGGUGGGAAAACCCACUCUGAAUAUGGAGGACACCUCCCUGGAGGCUAGAGGACUGGAUGGAAUAAAAGGGAGAGAAGGCGAACGCCAGCAUUUUUUCUCACCAAUUCCUGGAUGCCAUUAUGCGAGCUGCAUGCUUCCACACCCUCCCUGCAAAGGUCGUCUGAAACUGUGAAGCAAAAUGAUCUUCCCUCUCUUAAGAUGUUCUGCUCAGGUGGUAUUGUCAGGGUCAAAAGACUAAGACAUCCAGCUUUCCAACUGCCUCCUUAUUGCUUACAUGCCACUGGUGCCUUUCACUUCAGAUUACAUUUCUUUUGCUUUCCCCUUGGCACCCAACCUUGGCUCUUUCCUUGUUUCCAUGCCCGCUCUACCCAGGGAUGGCUCAGCAAGAUGCAUUCCGGUUCAACUGAAUCUUCUCUCUGGAAGUCACAUUCUGAUCCCUGUAAUGUGCCACUGGUAGGGGUGACUCUGGUCUGCAGAGUUAGCUCUCCAAGUACCUUUACUUUCCUUAGAGUCACCCUGUUCUGCUCCCAGGCUUCCCAGGACACCUGAGGCCUUUGCUGGAAAAGCAGCAUGCGUGCUUUGAAAGGACGAAGUUUUGCUUGUACAGGGAGGGAGCCGCUUGCCCACGACUGUGGGUCUUCCUUUAUCCCACCAGGAGCAGAGCUAAAGUCUUCUUUAGCCCACCUACUUUCUACCUAUCUCAGCAGCUUCUUCCAGGUGACUCCACGGAGCGGAGGCCUGUGGGCACUAAGAUCUGCUUGCCGAAGCACGUCUUCCGUAUACCCCAGUCCUGGACAUGUCAAGGGGCCAUGGCAGUCACCACACACAAUCUCACUGGCUCCUUGGCUUUUCUCUGACACCUCUGCUAGAAGUGGGUAUGUUGAUUGCUCUGUUAGAUGACAUGAUGUAGGGGAAGGUCCUGUGAUGUCA